CCCUGGUGGCGAGCGGCGGACGGGUGAGUAAUGCAUAGGAAUCUGCCCGGUAGUGGGGGAUAACGUGGGGAAACCCACGCUAAUACCGCAUACGUCCUACGGGAGAAAGCAGGGGAUCUUCGGACCUUGCGCUAUCGGAUGAGCCUAUGUCGGAUUAGCUAGUUGGUAAGGUAACGGCUUACCAAGGCGACGAUCCGUAGCUGGUCUGAGAGGAUGAUCAGCCACACUGGGACUGAGACACGGCCCAGACUCCUACGGGAGGCAGCAGUGGGGAAUAUUGGACAAUGGGCGAAAGCCUGAUCCAGCCAUGCCGCGUGUGUGAAGAAGGCUUUCGGGUUGUAAAGCACUUUCAGCGAGGAAGAAAGCCUCUGGGUUAAUACUUCAGAGGAAGGACAUCACUCGCAGAAGAAGCACCGGCUAACUCCGUGCCAGCAGCCGCGGUAAUACGGAGGGUGCGAGCGUUAAUCGGAAUUACUGGGCGUAAAGCGCGCGUAGGUGGCUUGGCACGCCGGUUGUGAAAGCCCCGGGCUCAACCUGGGAACGGCAUCCGGAACGGCCAGGCUAGAGUGCAGGAGAGGAAGGUAGAAUUCCCGGUGUAG
rnacentral:rRNA from 1 species